GGAGGAGUACCCAAGCGGCCAAAGGGGGCAGACUGUAAAUCUGCUGGCACAGCCUUCAGUGGUUCGAAUCCACUCUCCUCCACCA
rnacentral:tRNA from 1 species